AUUGAACGCUGGCGGCAGGCCUAACACAUGCAAGUCGAGCGAGCGGCGGACGGGUGAGUAAUGUAUGGGGACUGCCCGAUAGAGGGGGAUAACUACUGGAAACGGUGGCUAAUACCGCAUACUAUCGGAUAACCCAUAUGGUAUUAGCUAGUAUGUGGGGUAAAGGCUCACCUAGGCAACGAUCUCUAGCUGGGCUGAGAGGAUGAGCAGACACACUGGGACUGAGACACGGCCCAGAAUCCUACGGAGGCAGCAGUGGGGAAUAUUGCACAAUGGGCGCAAGCCUGAUGCAGCCAUGCCGCGUGUAUGAAGAAGGCAUUCAGGUUGUAAAGUACUUUCAGUCGGGAGGCGUUGCCGACAGAAGAAGCACCGGCUAACUCCGUGCCAGCAGCCGCGGUAAUAC
rnacentral:rRNA from 1 species